CAAUGUAUAUACUUCUAUCACAAAACAUAUAAUGUGUCUAUGUUUACUACUUUCACCAUGUUGAACAUGUCAACUGUGAACGUAUAUUUUACAUGACAUUGUAUAGGAAUAACCCACAAUGUCUCGAUAUACUCGUAUACUUUGCGUAUACGUUCUGCAGUUACAGAUAUACAUUCUUCUACGUUGACCCGUCUUCUACUGGCACAUGUGUUGCUUAUGGACGAAUUAUCUGUACGUGAUUGGUCAGUUAAAACACCUAUCAUCACAGAAUUCACCGAAGUACCAGACGACAGGAAUGAUGAAGAUAAUUUGUGCUGCAGUAUUAUAUCUGAGUGCAGGUUUUGUAUCAGGUGCACCCAGUGCCAGUCCAGUGUUGUCUGCAGUGUCUGACACAGCCAAGUUCAGCUGGGAGAUUCCACAGGGGGAGGUCUGGGGAUAGGGAGUUCUUUCUUUGCUGUCAGUCCUGCCGGUACUGCUG